UGAAUGUAAGAUUGGUGUACAAGCAUGUAUGCCACCAACCCAGUACUAAACGAAACCCGAAACAGAUAAUUUUCAUCAAAUUUCCCCCUCAAUUUCCUUUUCUUCACAGGAAUCGCACAGGUAAAAGUCACAUGGUGGACACAAGUAAUGACAAGAAUCAGCGAUACUCCUCUUGCACAGGCCGCAUGACGCGUUUGGGUAGGGUCCGACACGAAUGAGCCGGUGCGGAUGCUUACGACUGUUAAUGGGUUUCCAUAGGUGAUGAUAUACCAUAUUUGAAAAUUGAUCAACGGGAAGUAUACAAUCCGUAUGAAGAUAUUGGUCGCAUUCCCCA